GNUCNGAUUGAACGCGGNCGGCAGGCGUANCACACNCAAGUCGAACGGCAGCACAGAAGAGCUUGCUUUUUGGGUGGCGAGUGGCGGACGGGUGAGUAAUGUCUGGGGAUCUGCCCGGUAGAGGGGGAUAACCACUGGAAACGGUGGCUAAUACCGCAUAACGUCGCAAGACCAAAGAGGGGGACCUUCGGGCCUCUCACUAUCGGAUGAACCCAGAUGGGAUUAGCUAGUAGGUGGGGUAACGGCUCACCUAGGCGACGAUCCCUAGCUGGUCUGAGAGGAUGACCAGCCACACUGGAACUGAGACACGGUCCAGACUCCUACGGGAGGCAGCAGUGGGGAAUAUUGCACAAUGGGCGCAAGCCUGAUGCAGCCAUGCCGCGUGUAUGAAGAAGGCCUUCGGGUUGUAAAGUACUUUCAGCGGGGAGGAAGGGAUGAAGCUUAAUACGCUUCGUCAUUGACGUUACCCGCAGAAGAAGCACCGGCUAACUCCGUGCCAGCAGCCGCGGUAAUACGGAGGGUGCAAGCGUUAAUCGGAAUUACUGGGCGUAAAGCGCACGCAGGCGGUCUGUCAAGUCGGAUGUGAAAUCCCCGGGCUUAACCUGGGAACUGCAUUCGAAACUGGCAGGCUAGAGUCUUGUAGAGGGGGGUAGAAUUCCAGGUGUAGCGGUGAAAUGCGUAGAGAUCUGGAGGAAUACCGGUGGCGAAGGCGGCCCCCGGACA
rnacentral:rRNA from 1 species